GGCAGCGGCGGUGGCGGCGGCGGAGCCGGGCCCGGGGCCCGCGGCGGGGCCGCAGCCGGGGGCCGAGGAGAUCGACAUGUCCCUGGACGACAUCAUAAAACGCCACAAGAAAGAGCAGAGCGAUGCCCAGGCGGCAGGGAACAGGCGGAGGCAGCAGGUGAAGAACAGGAAUUCGGCGUACGGCUACGGGCGGCCCCGCUUCCGCACCUGGAUGCAGAGGAAUUUGCAAGGACCUAACCGCUUCAGAAGAGGCUUUGGGCAACAACAGUACAAUAGAAGGCAAUUCAGGAAYACUGUGCCCGGUCCCAGGAGAAGAGCAGCUGCCGCGUUAAACGGAGUGAGCCCUCUAAAUCGCCAGGCGUCCGCUCAAGAGGGUCACAAGAGCGACGACGCUUUCGCCAAAAGCGGUAGCAGCGGGCAGCAGCUGGAGGCACGGAGGCGGCCGCCGCUGGGCCCCAAGGGAUUCGGAGCAGCAGCUGCCGGCACCCACGCCGCGGGGAGAAGCAGGCCUUUCGUGCUGAACAGGGGACCAGGCUUCCAGCAGAAACGGAUGCAGCAGCGCUACUCCAAGGCCAACUUCCAGAGAGGGCAAAUGAAUGCAGUUGGAGACGGGAAACGACCGAGGAUGAGAAGGUGGCAAGUGAAACCCAGCCCCGGAGCGGUCCUGACGGUGUCUGUGGCUAAUCCCCAGGCGAGCCAGAGCAGCGCGGCCGGAGGCAAGCGGCCGUUCCUGCGGAGCCCGAGGCCCCCGCCGCGGGCGGCCAAGCCCCAGCCGAAGGGAGUGCUGCUGCGGUUCAACUUCCGCGCCAUGGCCAACCAGACCAGCCUGACGCUGGAUGAGAGGUUCUCUGGUCUGAGGAAUAAGCGGCGCUUUACAGCGGCGAGGAACGCUGGCCGGACGGUCACCAUGCCUUAGCACCGCGCGCUCGGCACGGGGACGGCCCGCAGCGGUCCGGGCCCCGGAACGGGCGGCUCAAUACAACUCCAUAGAUUUCCUCCGAGAUAGCUAAUUUGGCAACGUGCCCUCUCCUUCCUUACACCCAGAGCGAGCGAGCUGAGCGAGGGCAGGGACGAGGCAGCCAGAAAUGCAGGGCCAGGGCAUGGGGCGGGGGGGG
rnacentral:lncRNA from 1 species